rnacentral:rRNA from 1 species
GAUGAACGCUAGCGGCAGGCUUAACACAUGCAAGUCGAGGGGCAGCAUAAUGGAUAGCAAUAUCUAUGGUGGCGACCGGCGCACGGGUGCGUAACGCGUAUGCAACCUACCUUUAACAGGGGGAUAACACUGAGAAAUUGGUACUAAUACCCCAUAAUAUCAUAGAAGGCAUCUUUUAUGGUUGAAAAUUCCGAUGGUUAGAGAUGGGCAUGCGUUGUAUUAGCUAGUUGGUGGGGUAACGGCUCACCAAGGCGACGAUACAUAGGGGGACUGAGAGGUUACCCCCCCACACUGGUACUGAGACACGGACCAGACUCCUACGGGAGGCAGCAGUGAGGAAUAUUGGUCAAUGGACGCAAGUCUGAACCAGCCAUGCCGCGUGCAGGAUGACGGCUCUAUGAGUUGUAAACUGCUUUUGUACGAGGGUAAACGCAGAUACGUGUAUCUGUCUGAAAGUAUCGUACGAAUAAGGAUCGGCUAACUCCGUG